AUGGGGGAGCAGGCGCCAAGCGGGGGGGAACAGCUGUCAAGCAGGGGAGCUGCUGCACACACAGGAACCCUUCCCAGAAGGAAGAGCCAGGGCUCACCACCACAGGCCACCCCAGCGCCGAGACUCACCUGCACUCCUGGGGCCACCAACUUCUUUGCUGUCCAGCGAGAAGUGCCAACAUCUGCGACUACUGACAGACGCAGAGCCCCUCUGAAAGGAGCCUACCCAGAUGACCUCCUGCCGGCCACGCCCGGGACCGGAAUAGAACUCACAACCUGAAACUUGCUGGAGAGGUGCAGUGAUGCUGAGCUACAUCCUUGGCCCAGAGUUGACAUUUUUGAAGCAAGGACUUCACUUGAUGUCUCAAGAUUCUUACUUGUGUGGAUAAGUUCAUUUUAGUUUCGUUGUUUUCAAUAAAAUUUUGUUUACCUUGCAGCUGGAUUGUGUGUGUGUGUGUGUGUGUGUGUAUGUUGGGUUGUUUGUUACUUGGGCUGGCUGAAGAGUGUGUCUUUGAUGCUUGCACAUCCUACUUAAGACAAUGUAACAGCAUUUUUCACUUAAGAAAUCCUGAGAUGUAGGUUUUUUCAAAAGAACAAGGACAGCAGUUUACAGCAUGGGUGAGCCCAAUCCCUGACACUUGCCUACCUCUGUUUAAGCACUAUGCAGUCAAUAGUGCUUACAAGUUAACAAUAGAUAAUUACAUGGAUGAACUUUGAUACCUUUUAGAGGGGAAUCAUUUUAUUUUAUUUUUUUAACUGUUCUUAUUUUAUUAGUGCACAAUUGCAGUAUAUACUGGUUACGCUCAUCAUGGGGAGACAUGGGUACAUGUACAUAACACCUCCUAAUUCUUUUUACUUCCCUCUAGGAGUGGGAUCAUUUCAAACAGAUUGUGGUAUUUUCUGAUUAAUAAAGAUCCUGAAAAUGUUUUGUACCCUUUAUCCUGUUAACUUUGAAUUAUCCAGCAAUAUUCUUUAUAAUCAAAGAUCCCUUUUAAACAUCUAUGCUUAGCAUAGGAAUUUCAAGUUUGUAGUUUCUUAAUCUUAAAAUGUACAUUUCAUUACUCUAUUUAAUUGAGCCCUUGCCAACAUAUCUAGCCUGUAAAAACAGAAGGUUUAAAAAGUAUAUAUCUCUCUAUAUGUAUUUAGAUAAUGCCUUCAGCUGAAGCUGGUUUACUGUAAAUGCACUGAUAGCUUGGCCUCUGGAACACUUUGUGCCUUCUUCAUAAAUUGCUGCCAACAUUCCAGGCCUCUGUUUCAUUCUUGGUGUUCACUGGACGUGGUGGUGCGCACUGGGAGGCUGAACCUGCAGGCCUGCAGAUGGGGGCCCAGCCUGGGCAACUUGAAACACUGUCAAGGACGGGUGCGUGUAUAGAUGUAGCUCAGUAUGUAUGACAGCGUGAAGGCCCUAGGUUCCAUCCUAGGAGUGUGAAAGAAUUGUUGCCUUAAGGUGUUAAGAACUGAGUUAAAAUAGGAGUUAAACUUAGGUCAUAAUGACUUCAUCUAUCUUACUGCGUCCACAUUUCAAUAC
rnacentral:lncRNA from 1 species